ACUAUGUUGAGGAUACAAAAGAAUACAGCUACAAAAGGGAAGCAGUUGGAGCCUCAUUUCAUGUUGUGUUAUGUGAAUGCAGUCCUAACUAAAUAGGAAUAACCUUGCCAGUACUCAUGUGUCCCAACAUCUCAGAGUCAAGGUUUUGCAGCUACUCUUUUAUGAUCAGAGGAAUAAAGAGUGACCUUUGGGUUCCAGUCCAAUAGGAAAAACAUGAAGAUUCAGAUGUUAACUUGGUGGGACCAGAUUAUGUAUAAACUGUUGAGUGCACCCACUAUCUCCAAAGAACAAGAUUACUACACUAGAUCAAGAAAAUAUCAUGGAUAUAGUAUUUCUAGAUUUAAGGAAUACAACAAUUCUGUUAUUUCCCUGUUAGACAAGAUGGAGCGAAAAAGUUUACUGGAUAGCACUUCAGUUAGUUGUGAUAUCAGAUGCAGAGAAACAAAUCAGAUCUACGUGAAGAGGACUUCAUCUACUCUCUAUCAGACUCCUGAGCUGCCUGGAUGCCCUUAUACAGAGAGUGAAGAUAUGCCCAAGAUGAGUAAAUAUUUGAUGUAACAAACACUAAGGCUUAGAAGCAGCCUCUGGCAAAAUUAUCAGGUACUCCCUCUCCCUGAGUGCUCAAAUACCAUGAUGCUAGAAAUUCUCCAGUUGCGUCUUUCAUUAUACUUUCUUAUCUUAUUUCAAAUAUAUGUGCCAACAUCAGUAUAUUUGAUAGGUAGACUAUACCUAUUUCAAAAUGUCAGCUGCUCCCUUAACAUGACAAUAAUGGAUGUUACUUUGUUGACCUUCCAUUUCUGUCCUUAUUUUUGCCUUUA
rnacentral:lncRNA from 1 species